UCACAAAUGCCAUUCCAGAAGCCCAAGCAGCACAUCGGCAGUCUUUCCUGAGGCAGAAGGCAGAUUAGUCACAUUCAAAAUCAAAAUGGAUUCCGAUGGUUAUCCUCUUUUUCCUAGGAAAUCGUUGCUUCUAUCUAUAUCUUUAUUCGUCUGUUCGACAUCAAAUGAUCUGGUGUUCUACUUCAAGGCCUUCUCUUCAUUUGAAGCAGCGUGGAUUUCCAGGGGCUUGUCACCUUCCACUUCACCCUUAUCACCUUUCUUCCCAGAUUUCUUCUUUUUAGGAUUAUCCUUCCAAAGAGAUUCUACAGCAAUAUAUCCCUGGAGACUCCAGUCAUACAGCUGGGUACCAGCAACCUUUGCAAUAGCAACUGCUUGUUGAGGAUAAUACAUGGAAGCACCAAUACUCAUGAAACCUGCAGGAUACACCAACUUCUUUAUUUUUGAUCCUCUGGCCAGAAACAAUCCAAGAAUUCCAGCAAAACC
rnacentral:lncRNA from 1 species